rnacentral:misc_RNA from 1 species
CAGUACUUGAUUAUUGAGAUGCCACUGUAUAAUUUCUUCACUGAUACACGGUUGUCAUCCCCGAAUGACUGCUUUGCUAUACAACAUGCAAGUGAAGCCAACACCCCACAUUCCAUCUGGCUAGCAAGAGCCAAGGCAAAUGUCUCCAUCUAUGCUGUUGCAAGCCGAGCAUUGCCUGAACGAGCUGGCCAUAAGCUUCUGGUCCAUCACCAAUUUGACGAUGAAAAGCUCCGGUGAACAUGCUAAGGUCGAUUAUGAAUCGAGUCAAUACUAUUGGGUCCCAUUUUCGGGCGGACACGAGGGACAGAAAGAUACGUUGUGGUCAGAAAUGGAAAAAGAGAAAGGAUUUUUGAUCCCCGGAGUUUAAAUCAUAUGAGCGGAGGAGAGAUUGAGAGCAG